GUGGGGAAUAUUGGACAAUGGGCGCAAGCCUGAUCCAGCCAUGCCGCGUGAGUGAUGAAGGCCCUAGGGUUGUAAAGCUCUUUCACCGGUGAAGAUAAUGACGGUAACCGGAGAAGAAGCCCCGGCUAACUUCGUGCCAGCAGCCGCGGUAAUACGAAGGGGGCUAGCGUUGUUCGGAAUUACUGGGCGUAAAGCGCACGUAGGCGGGUAUUUAAGUCAGGGGUGAAAUCCCAGAGCUCAACUCUGGAACUGCCUUUGAUACUGGGUACCUAGAGUAUGGAAGAGGUAAGUGGAAUUCCGAGUGUAGAGGUGAAAUUCGUAGAUAUUCGGAGGAACACCAGUGGCGAAGGCGGCUUACUGGUCCAUUACUGACGCUGAGGUGCGAAAGCGUGGGGAGCAAACAGGAUUAGAAACCCGAGUAGUCC
rnacentral:rRNA from 1 species